rnacentral:rRNA from 1 species
AGUAAAUAGAUACCCAGGUAGUCCUAGCAGUAAACGGUGCACAUUUGGUGUGGGAGGAUUCGACCCCUCCGCGCCGGAGCUAAACGCGUUAAAUAGUGCCGCCUGGGAAGUACGGUCGCAAGAUUAAAACUACAAAGAAAUUGACGGGGACCCGGCACAAGCGGUGGAGUAUGUGGCUUAAUUCGAUGCAACGCGAAGAACCUUACCUGGUCUUGACAUGCACUGUGUCUCUCGUGAAAGCGAGAUAGGGUAGCAAUACCCGCUUUGCACAGGUGCUGCAUGGCUGUCGUCAGCUCGUGUCGUGAGAUGUUGGGUUUAAGUCCCGCAACGAGCGCAACCCCUGUGAUUUGUUGCCA